rnacentral:rRNA from 1 species
GACGAACGCUGGCGGCGUGCUUAACACAUGCAAGUCGAGCGGAAAGGCCCUGCUUUUGUGGGGUGCUCGAGUGGCGAACGGGUGAGUAACACGUGAGUAACCUGCCCUUGACUUUGGGAUAACUUCAGGGAACUGGGGCUAAUACCGGAUAGGAGCUCCUGCUGCAUGGUGGGGUUUGGAAAGUUUCGGCGGUUGGGGAUGGACUCGCGGCUUAUCAGCUUGUUGGUGGGGUAGUGGCUUACCAAGGCUUUGACGGGUAGCCGGCCUGAGAGGGUGACCGGCCACAUUGGGACUGAGAUACGGCCCAGACUCCUACGGGAGGCAGCAGUGGGGAAUAUUGCACAAUGGGCGGAAGCGUGAUGCAGCAACGCCGCGUGCGGGAUGACGGCCAUCGGGUCGUAAACCGCUUUAGCCUGUGACGAAGCGUGAGUGACGGUAAUGGGUAAAGAAGCACCGGCUAACUACGUG